UGGAUGAUGUGGUUUAAUUCGAUGCAACGCGAAAACCUUACCCACCUUUGACAUGUACGGAAUCCUUUAGAGAUAGAGGAGUGCUCGAAAGAGAGCCGUAACACAGGUGCUGCAUGGCUGUCGUCAGCUCGUGUCGUGAGAUGUGGGUUAAGUCCCGCAACGAGCGCAACCCUUGUCAUUAGUUGCUACAUUCAGUUGGGCACUCUAAUGAGACUGCCGGUGACAAACCGGAGGAAGGUGGGGAUGACGUCAAGUCCUCAUGGCCCUUAUAGGUGGGGCUACACACGUCAUACAAUGGAUGGUACAAAGGGUCGCCAACCCGCGAGGGGAGCCAAUCCCAUAAAGCCAUUCGUAGUCCGGAUCGCAGUCUGCAACUCGACUGCGUGAAGUCGGAAUCGCUAGUAAUCGUGGAUCAGAAUGUCACGGUGAAUACGUUCCCGGGUCCUU
rnacentral:rRNA from 1 species